CUCCACUGGACGAGAGAGAAUCUGGAGAUUAGUCAUUGUCUUCCUGAACAAACAGUGAGGAAACCCAGGGGAGGUGACCCCUCAGUGAAUGUAUCCUACAGAAGAGCCGGAUCUGGAACUCUGCUUGAGCAAGCCAGUGUAAAAAUUACAACAGCUUACUGAGCCCUGUGCAGAAGCUGAUAUUGAGAGCAUGGAGGCUUCCUGCUAAAGGCCAGCAUCAGCUUGUCAGCCACACAGGUGAGGCUGGGAGAGGAUCCUCAGUCCUGAUCAAGACUUCAGAUGAGAUCACAGCCCUGGCUGACAUCUGACUGCAACUUCAUGAGAGACCCUGAGCCACAGCCCCCAGCCCA
rnacentral:lncRNA from 10 species